rnacentral:rRNA from 1 species
GAGUUUGAUCCUGGCUCAGAUUGAACGCUGGCGGCAGGCCUAACACAUGCAAGUCGGGCGGUAGAGAGAAGCUUGCUUCUCUUGAGAGCGGGCGGACGGGUGAGUAAUGCCUAGGAAUCUGCCUGGUAGUGGGGGAUAACGCUCGGAAACGGACGCUAAUACCGCAUACGUCCUACGGGAGAAAGCAGGGGACCUUCGGGCCUUGCGCUAUCAGAUGAGCCUAGGUCGGAUUAGCUAGUUGGUGAGGUAAUGGCUCACCAAGGCGACGAUCCGUAACUGGUCUGAGAGGAUGAUCAGUCACACUGGAACUGAGACACGGUCCAGACUCCUACGGGAGGCAGCAGUGGGGAAUAUUGGACAAUGGGCGAAAGCCUGAUCCAGCCAUGCCGCGUGUGUGAAGAAGGUCUUCGGAUUGUAAAGCACUUUAAGUGGGAGGAAGGGCAGUAAAUUAAUACUUUGCUGUUUGACGUUACCGACAGAAUAAGCACCGGCUAACUCUGUGCCAGCCGCCGA